rnacentral:rRNA from 1 species
GUGGGGAAUCUUCCGCAAUGGACGAAAGUCUGACGGAGCAACGCCGCGUGAGUGAUGAAGGUCUUCGGAUUGUAAAGCUCUGUUAAUCGGGACGAAAGAGCCUAGUGUGAAUAAUGCUAGGAAGUGACGGUACCGGAAUAGAAAGCCACGGCUAACUACGUGCCAGCAGCCGCGGUAAUACGUAGGUGGCAAGCGUUGUCCGGAAUUAUUGGGCGUAAAGCGCGCGCAGGCGGAUCUGCCAGUCUGUCUUAAAAGGUCGGGGCUUAACCCCGUGAUGGGAUGGAAACUACAGAUCUAGAGUAUCGGAGAGGAAAGUGGAAUUCCUAGUGUAGCGGUGAAAUGCGUAGAUAUUAGGAAGAACACCAGUGGCGAAGGCGACUUUCUGGACGAAAACUGACGCUGAGGCGCGAAAGCCAGGGGAGCGAACGGGAUUAGAUACCCUGGUAGUCC